AUUGAACGCUGGCGGGAGGCCUAACACAUGCAAGUCGAACGAGUGGCGGACGGGUUAGUAAUGUCUGGUAAACUGCCUGAUGGCGGGGGAUAACUACUGGCAACGGUAGCUAAUACCGCAUACCAUCAGAUCUGCCAAUAUGGGAUUAGCUUUUUGGUGGGGUAAAGGCUCACCAAGGCGACGAUCCAUAGCUGGUUUGAGAGGAUGACCAGCAACACUGGAACUGAGACACGGUACAGAAGCGUACGGGAGGCAGCAGUGGGGAAUUUUGCACAAUGGGGGCAAGCCUGAUGCAGCCAUGCCGCGUGUAUGAGGAAGGCCUUCGGGUUGUAAAGUACUUUCGGCGGGGAGGCGUUACCCGCAGAAGAAGCACCGGCUAACUCCGUGCCAGCAGCCGCGGUAAAAC
rnacentral:rRNA from 1 species